AGCUGGCUUAAAAAAAAAAAAAAAAAAAAAAAAAAAGAUUUAUAAGAGUCGACACUGCUACCCCGGUCAGAAAAACACCCGCGUUUCCGCUUCCUGGCGAGGGCAUUGAAGGUUAGUUGAAAUGCUUGAAUGGAGGAGCGGUGAGCGUGCGGGUGUGCAGCCCCAGGAACGGCUGUGCCAAGGUCCACAGAGAGGCUCUGGAACAGCUCACAGCAGGCUGCAGGCUGACAAAUGAGUUAAUAACGUCAGCAGCAAAGGAGAGAAAUUCGGGUCCUAACAGAGAACACCCCUCUCAUCCUGCCGCCUAGCCGGCUGAAGUUCUGAAAGUUCUCCCUAACAUCACGAUACACUGCAGAGUCUCCAGAAGAAGCUUUGUAAAGGAAGGAGGAGCACACACCGCUCUCAUCUACCACCCGCUACCACCGUAUGCUCAUCGAUUCCUCGCUCACAUUGCGCUUUCUCCCAGUGGAGGGAAAGGGAGAUCAUGGUAAACCCGGGAGAACGGCUUGGACUUGCAGAACAGACAGGCGGGGGCUGAGACUCGAGAUGAGGACUGCGGCCACCCCACUCCUCCAAGCCGCCCACUUCUUCUCCCUCCCUCCCUGUCUCCGAGUCCCGUACCCGCGGUUCGCUGUGGAACAGCGCCUGGAUGGAUGCUGCGCCUCCGCUGGCUCAACGCUCCUCUGUCAUGCAAUGUUUUGGGGAGGCAGUAGAGAAAUUUUCUUAUUAUCAUUUUAAAUUGGUUAGAAAUUUCUAUUUCCCGCUCGUCUCCCGAUGCAAAGAAGCGGCAAAUAACGUCUAAUUUAAAAAAAAAAAAAAAAAGAGAGAGAGAGAGAGAGAAAGGGCAGGACGGACUCGCCGGUCCUGCGGGAAGGUGAGCUUUCUUUUGGGGGCGAGCGUUGGGGCGGGUAGCGCUGCUGUUGCUGCUGCUGCUGCCAGAGCCUAUUUCAUAUGGUAGAGCGCGGCCGGGAGCCUGCGCGUCCGCGGAAUAGCGCGGAGCAUCUCAGCGGCUGCGCCUCCGCCCCGCGUCCCCCAUCCCCACUUCACGUUCAAGGUUUAGAGAAGAGGUCACGUCCACUGACGUCAACUGAAGGCAUACGGCACGUCCGUCUGCAUUUACAUACAUCAAGGAAAUUAGGGCAUAAAAAAUAGGAAAAAAAAUAGAAUAUGCAAAUCCCCCCACUCCGAGAAGAGAUUGCCGAUUCCGGGAACGAUCGUCCCUAUUUGCGGAAGAUCCUAAUUAACGGAACAAAAAACUGGGCCUCUCUCUUCUUCUAAACAUCAUCAUCAUCCACAACAAAAUAAACAUCCUCGAAAUGAGCACUCGGAGCCGGGCUGCGGCGCGAUCUGGGAGCGGGCGGCCCCGAUGUGAAUGCAGGGCUCCACCGCUGCGCCAUUCUCUUCUCCUCCUCCUCCAGCUCCUGUUGGCUCCAGCGCGUAUUACUUUUAAUACUGAUGCAUAUGUAAAGGAAUUUUUCGUUGUCUCGUAUCUCAACAGACUGCAGGCGGGUAGAAGAAUAACUUGGCUGUCUCUCAGAGGACGUUUCUUCUGCGCCUUCAGGAGAUUAUUUCUUCUUCUCCAACAAAAAAUAUAAGAACGUGAUUUUUAUUUUUCAGUGAGAAAAGGCUGUGGGCGCACGGCCAUCAAAUAUUUAAAUUUAAAAGUGGUGUGGCUGCUAUAUGCGGUUACAAAAGCACUCGUGACGUGCCCACUUCUCGCGUGUUUUAGCUGUCGUACUGCUGGGACCGAUGUGUACCAGCGAUGGGCACGGAGACAAACACACAGAAAGCCGGUUGCACCUCUCAGGUAGUAAAACCUGAGCAUAAAUUAGUUCUCUGCUCACCAGGACAACAAUUUCGAGGUGCCCUUCUGAGUAAAGGCAUUUCAGCCCAAGGACCGAGCGUAUUAUUUGAACGCCCGUCGUGCUCGGGGCGGUGGAAAAAUAAGGAUUAAAAGCAACGACAGAUCCCCGACUGGCUGCGGACGUUGUAGGGGAGGAGACGCGGCGGCGACCUUUGUCUGCCUGUCCUUCUGGUAAGGAUGUUGUCUUUCUGUCCUAGUAACACCCGGAACAGCCGAGGACUAUUUUGACACUCAUCCUUGCCCUGGACACUGUCGCCGUCCCCGACCAACUCCCCGCCUGGCAGUAUCGCAUCUCCCCGCCGCACCGCGCCCUGCAGACGGACGGACGAACAGACGGACGGACGGCGUUACUGGUGCCGGUUCCCACGCUGCCGGAGCACCCACUCCCCGAGCCGGGACCCCUGCACCCUCAUUAAAACGUCGCCGUUUUGAUGCUUGGUGACAAAAAGUUUCAGAGCUCUCCCAGUGCAAACCCCCGCCUUGGGUAUCGGGGGGAGGGCUUGCGAGGUAACCUCCCUGACGCGUCGAGCAGAGCAAGCACGCAGAGCCCCUUGCCCUGCCAGCCCCCUCCCGCUCCUGUUUUCUUCUCCACCUUUUCAGUAGCGACAAGGGAAUCAAGAAACGGAACUAAGGAUGCGCGGCGGAUGCCAGCCCGCUGUUCAGCCGCCACGCUGCGGGACCUGGGGAGGUCUGUCCGGGGAGCGCGGUUGUACAGAGGGAUAGAGGGCCGUUACGCCAUCUGCCCUUGUAUUUACAGAAUCUCAGUUCCCCCUCUUUCACAUCCCCAAAAGGAUGCGAGGCGGGAGAAGGCAGACCUGUACCUUGUCCUCUCGCACAGGCCCAUACCCUCUCCAGUACAGACGGCCACACCCCAAACAAUCACUGGAAUGCGACUCAUCAUCUCGUCCCCACCCCACUGAUUUUGAUUUCAUCCCGAGGGGCAUUCGUCAGGCCUGUCCCCGCUCCCUAACCCUCCGUGCCUGUGCAGUGCGAUGCUCAGAGUGCGGGAAGCGCCGUGCGGGUGCCACACGAACACCCGCGCGCGUGUGUAUGCGUUUAACGAGCCCAUGGGUAAACCCACAUCAGCUGAUCAGGUUUGAAAUCCAAUAGCUUCCCCUCACGUGAAUUAGAUUUGUCACUGACGGUAAGAAAGUAGGGAGCAGGAGGGUGUCAAGGACAAAAGAGAGCGGCGAAGGAUUCCCUCGUCCCUAAAGGGACGCCUUCCCGCCUAGUCUCUCUCUUUCCACUCGGACCGGACCCCAACUUAUAACCUCCCUCGUUAUUACAAGAGGCCGAAAGAUGAAGGUCGGAGAGGGGUCGGGGCACAAGGGGAAAUCCCUGCCUCGCCCCCAACGCUGGACAAGCUUCUCCAGCCUCGGGGUGAGACGGCACGGCCGGACUGUACCAAGCUCCCCGCCCGCCCCUUCCUGGAGACACCCUCGUUCCGUACUCACCCCGUUCCCUCCUCUCCGCGCUCCGCAGCCGCCCGCUCUGCACCGUCACUCGUAGGCAGCCCGGUAGAGGCUUCUCCAGCCCCGCUCGAACGGGCGGGAAGAAGAGAAGAAGUGGUGGAGGGACGGGGGGGGAAGUUGGUGGUGGAGGGAGGGGGCGGCCACGAAUGCUGCUCCACAUCGGACUGCGACGUGGCUCGCUCUCCGCUUUUCGCCCCGGUAUUUCCCACUCAUCUCCUCCGCUCCCGCCCCAAGGCAGACAGCCGUGGGGGACGAGGACACGUCUUUUGGGAGGGCCCUCCCUUCUUCAGGGUCCCGACCAGGCAGGGUGAGGGGUCGAGGCUCAGCCUGUGGGGCCCAGCGGUGCUCGACUUUGGGGCUGCUAGCGUCCCACGCCGAGAGCGGGGCUGUCGGGUCUCGGGUGCGUUGGGAGUUGGGGUGGGAAGUCCCUCUGCGCACCAGGCAUCGCCCCCCCCGCCGCCUCUUGUUGUUAUCAUCACUAUUCCUACUGCUGCUGAUGGUUAAUUUAAGGGGCCUCUGGAAACGGAGGCCGACGGCGGGGCCAGAGGAGACAGAGGGUACGGGGGGAAGCGUCUUCUCGGGGAAGAUGGGUUCUGCCGGCGGGCAGCACCCCAGGGGGGGCAGUGGGCUCGGACAGAAGGUGUCCGCAUCGCUGCUGGAGCGCCGGCGGUACCCGGGGGUCGGUGAGCGGCACCUGCCCCGUUACCAGGGCACCACAUCUGUCCGAGCGGCUGGAGUCAGGGAUCUCGUCACAGACCCCCUCGAAACUUCCACUGCUACAGAUAUACCAAUUGCCCCACUCAUUCCUUGGCUGGACUUUUUUUGGCAAUUUUCUCUCAGAGGUUUGUCGAAAGUUUUUGGCAUCGGUACCUGGCAGGUACAAUCCCACGGUUGUGACUGCGACAUCCGUCACGACUUGCGCACGAUCUGCAUGCCAGAGAUGGCAUCAUUCUAAACCUUCUUCCCUCUCUAGUGUAAAUGAGGGCAAAAUAUUAUUUGCCAUAUAGCUAUUUGGAGAAGAGUGCAUCAACCGGGCUGUGGUUUCUGUGCGGUUAUGCAAGUUUCGUGUUUAAACAGAGUGAAAAUGAGCCAAUACUAAUAUUUGUCAACGUGUUUCAGGAUGUUCAUACCUUAUAUUUACGAUAUACCAAACCCCCAAAAAAUGUAAUGAGAGGUUGUGUUAAUAAUACCGAAUUAAAUUAACAAGAAUUACAGUAUGCUUAAAACAGAUUGUACUAAAAUGAAAAUAAAUAUUUGAUUCUUUGGCAUAAACAACAAAAAAAAAAGCAUUUUAAACAUUCUAUAUUGUGUUCACAAAUUUUCUUUAGUUUCUAACCAUUUUGGUUUUAUAUAAAACGAUUAAUAUAAUAAAUAAAACUAGGUAAGCCAGACCAUGUUGCGAAUUGCUAUUAUUUAAAUUAUUAAAAUAAAAUCCUUGGAUUAAUGUUCAUUCCAAUAACUGUGGAAAUAUUCUCCUUUUAAUUUACUUAUUUUCAAAACAGAAACUAAAAUGUAUUAGAGCUGACUUCAUUUCACAGUAAGAAGAUUUCAUAUUAGAACAACUGUCUGCAUAUCCUUGCUGUAAUGUGCCACUACCUGAAGCAGAUAAAAAUAACAAGGAAGCUCCUGAAUUUGCAAUUUUUUUCCUUGUCCUCUUUAUAACUACUGCUACCGUAGUCACUUUCUCAUAUGGAUCAUCCAUUUUCUCGUGCUACAUCUUUCCAGACACACUCACACUCAGGUUUAUUCUUCUUCAGUUGUUCCUAGAUAUAUUGACAACGUCAGCAUUUUUUUUUUUUUUAGUAGGUUUUCUUAAAAAUUACUUUCAACUUCAGAAAACAGCUAAGCUCUUUCUGGGCACGUCAGCUCCAGUGAUGUUAGGCAUCAGCUGCUGUGGAUCUCUAAGAAUUCAGGCGGGAUAAAAAGUGAAUUAUUAGACAUGAAAUCAUCAUCAAAUUGGUUCUAAAGCCAUUGAAAUUGGUGCAACUGAUUUUUAGCAGAGGAGAAUUUGGCUCAGUUGUUCAAGUUACAAGGGUGCGUGGCUGCUUGUUUUAAAAUGCAGCUCUCAAAUUCAUCUCUUGUUAAACUUACAUAUAAAUAUAUGGCAGGUAGAGACAAGCUAUAUCCAGAUUUUUCAAAGUAAUUUAAGGGAGGUGGAGGAAUCUGAUCAGUUUAAAAUUUUUUACUCCCAAAUUUAUUAGUGUUCCAGCCAUGCAGCUGUACAGAAUAUAAUUAUCAGAUGAAAAAGUCUUGCCAAGAGCCUGAAGCCUUACAGUAGGGGAUGAAACACUUAAAAUCCUGCUUAAUUAUUCUGACCAAGUGAAAUGUUUAAUUGUAUUUCCAUUUUUCCUCUAAUGAUUUUCUCUCCUCAGAACUCUCACUGCGAAUAAUACACCUGCAUUGCUGAGCAAAACAGUAGGCCACUCUGAAAACUACCUGUCCAGACAGUGAGAGAUGGGAUCGGGAUACUCGGUAGGUCCAUGGCACUCCCUGAAGAGAAUUCGGCUUUAAACAGGACACACUUCAUUCUCCUCUUCACCAGGCAAAAUUGCUUCAACUAUAUCAUAAGUAUUAAAUGUUUUUUUUUGUUUUAGUUAUUUGAACAACUUAAGGUAGACUUUAGUCCUGCUGUUGCCAUUCAGUCAAAAUUUCAUUAGGGGAGGGAAUAUUUUUCCAGGUGAAGAACUGAGGACGGUCUCAAAAACGAGAAUAGAAAGUUUGCUGUGUUCUUUGGAUUUCUCUUUUUUUUUUUUGAAAUCCGAGUGGUGUGUUAUUAUAAAAGUGUGUCUAGGUAAUAAAACGAGAACUUCUGAGAACUUCUGAACAUACUCUGGCUGGGCAGGUUUGACCUGAAGUCUUUAAAAUCGGGUAACAUCUCCCUCCCAAACCAUCCUGUGAUCCUAAGAUUCCAUGAUUCUGAGAUUCUAUGAUUCUAAGAUCGGAGAAUUCGGACCCACACGGGACGCCCACGGUGGGAGGGACACGGUGAUAUCCACGUGGUUUCUGUGUGGGUGAAGAAGGGGAGCCUGUCCGACUUCAAAAACGAGACUCGCUAAAGACCGAGGGGCUAAGGAGUUGUUCAGCCUCCAGUGAUCGUGGAUCUGUGGCCGGGGGCCCACCAGGAGAUGGGAAUCAACACUGGUUGUAGGAGCAAGCUUGUAAUCCCCACUCGGGCAGGGAAGGAGGUGUCUCUGUGGUGCUGCAAACACCUCCGUAACCUGCGGUGCUCUGAGCUCUGCGGCUGUGUUGUUUGGGACAGAUGUUGGUCAGAAGGGAGAACUUGGGUCACCAAAUGCAAAGAGGCGUUGAGGACGCGUUCUCAGCCGCAGUCCCUGCCAGGUGAGGAAGCCCUCUCGUUCUGCACGGACAGCUUCCCUCCAGGCACCAACCAGCAGCACGUUGCUUCUUUCCUCAUACUUCCAGAAAAAACAAUCAGUUCCUCACAGGCGGGUUGCCCAAAACUGGGACGGGAAGGAGAGCAGGACUCAGGGACACACCUCCAGAUCAGGGAAAACUCUCUUUGAUGUUGUUUGGCAGGAGGCGGCGCCAUCCAGAGAAAACAUGCGGGGAGGAUGAUGGAGAGCCCCCCAAGCUUCCUCGCCGCCGGCGGGACUCCCUGCCCGCCCCGCCCUCGCUAGCGAACUUCACCGGAGUAAAACCUCCAGAGCUCGGGAAAACAACAACUACAAAAAAACACUUUUCCACGCCCCCGCCCCUUCCGAACGCGUUAAUACCGUUUUUUCAUCCGACAUAA